CCUACGGGAGGCAGCAGUGAGGAAUAUUGGUCAAUGGGCGAGAGCCUGAACCAGCCAAGUCGCGUGAGGGAAGACGGUCCUACGGAUUGUAAACCUCUUUUGUCGGGGAGCAAAGAGGCCUCGUGAGGCGACCAGUGAGAGUACCCGGAGAAAAAGCAUCGGCUAACUCCGUGCCAGCAGCCGCGGUAAUACGGAGGAUUCAAGCGUUAUCCGGAUUUAUUGGGUUUAAAGGGUGCGUAGGCGGUUCGUUAAGUUAGAGGUGAAAUCGCGGGGCUCAACCCCGGCCCUGCCUUUGAUACUGGCGGGCUAGAGUUUACGUGAGGUAGGCGGAAUGUAUGGUGUAGCGGUGAAAUGCAUAGAGAUCAUACAGAACACCGAUUGCGAAGGCAGCUUACCAGACUCCGACUGACGUUGAGGCACGAAAGCGUGGGGAGCGAACAGGAUUAGAUACCCGAGUAGUC
rnacentral:rRNA from 1 species